CUAAGAAUAUUCCGCAAUGGAGGAAACUCUGACGGAGCGACGCCGCGUGGAUGAUGAAGGUCGGAAGAUUGUAAAAUCCUUUUAUGACUGAGGAAUAAGUACGUUGAGAGAAACGGCGUAUGGUGACUGUAGGUCAUGAAUAAGCAGCGGCUAAUUACGUGCCAGCAGCCGCGGUAACACGUAAGUUGCGAGCGUUGUUCGGAAUUAUUGGGCGUAAAGGGCAUGUAGGCGGUUUUGCAAGCUUGAUGUGAAAUGCCGAGGCUUAACUCCGGCACUGCGUUGAGAACUGCAUGACUAGAGUAACUGAGGGGCAGCCGGAAUUCCAGGUGUAGGGGUGAAAUCUGUAGAUAUCUGGAAGAACACCAAUGGCGAAGGCAGGCUACCAGCAGAUUACUGACGCUGAGGUGCGAAGGUG
rnacentral:rRNA from 1 species